UGCUCUCGGGGCAGCAGAGUCAGGAGCUUCAGCUCCUGCCUCCUGGAGCCCCGGGCUCCGGGGCACAGUUUCCCUACAAGGGGUGGUUAUUCGUUUCGGCGUCUGAGCACAGAGCGGACGAACAGGACUCAGGCUCUGCUUGUGGAUGAAAAGCUCGUGUUCGUGGAACCACUGAGGGCUCUGGUGAUGUAGGGCCAGGCUUCAGGAGGCAGGCGAGGAAAGGAGCCUUCUCCUUCUCCUACUCGAGGCAACGGAGAGGACCGUUCGCCCAGAUUUGGGGAGCCCAGGCGAAAAGCGUCGAAGAUGUCGGGGAAGAUGGGGGUUCAACGAAGCCUGCGAUGGACGGAACAGGGUGUUUUGCGGAUGGAUCACAGUUCCAGAAAACAGCAUAAAGACCAUGGAAAACUUUCUUUAGGGACCUGCUUCUUCCUUUGUUAUGUGGUGAGUACCAUCCGGCGAGCUGGGUACCCAAGCCAAGCCUGUGACAGAGACAAAGGAGGAGGUUGUAAAAGGGGACUCAGGGAGCACAGAGUCACGAUCGCCUGACAGGUGGGUCCUGGGUCUUCCGAGGGUCAGCACCUUCAGGAAGGGAGCACCCAGGCGUGAGGGACAUGGGGGGGAGACAGCACAGGAGACCCCCGGAGAGGCCGGGUGAGAGAGGCCGUCAAGGAGGUACCACUCGCUUAUACACACAUGUUCUCCACUGAGGAAAACCAGGCUGCUAAGGACACAUGGUGACGAGUCUCAAGAACGGGGCCGUCACGGGCAGAGCUGUUCGCCAGGCUCCAUAGACGAUAAGACCCAGCGCAUUCAGUGCUAAAUGUUUCAGAAAGGAGACGGGAAACCCCUGCCCGGCAGGUGCCCAGCACUCAACUGAGGGAGUGUUCUCACCGAGUAACUGUCUACCGACUGACCCCUUCCCUGGGGAGGAGACCCCAGACAGACACGCGCUGCGAUGAGAAAACCGUUCAGGCUGGCUGCAGGGUGAGGUCGUCACCGAAGUGGUCGGAGGUUGGCAGGGUCUGUCCCUGGAGAUCGGGAAGGAUGGGAUCAAGGAGCCCCCGACACGCACGUCCCACUCGGGGCAGGGAGCCAGCCUGAAUGAGUGACCGGUAACCUGAAGACACGACACAGACCUCUGCGGCCUCUUUUUUGAGUCCCUUUUCCACAUCGUGGGCUCGUGGGAUGGACACCCAGAGCCGAGGGUCCUUCCCGUUCAGCCCAGGGAGAAGGGGCUCCCACAGGACAGAUGGAACCAGCCAGGGAGGGACCCCACUUCAAACAGGGAAGUUAAGAACCAGAAAAACCAUCAGAGCUGUGGUUGCCGGGGGCACAGACUGGGGACUGACUGGGAGAGCAGCAUUGGGAAAUUCUCCGGGGCCGCGGGAGAGUUCCCUAUCCUGACGGGGGUGUGUGUGCUUUCCAAAUUGAUCAGGCGUACACGUAAGAUACGUGCAUUUCUCCGUGAAGGAAGUUUUAAACAGAUAUUUAAAAAUAAAGAAAUGGUGGGGGAGAUUAUUUAGAAAUAUUCCUGCGUGGGGGCGCCUGGGUGGUUCAGUCGGUUAAGCGUCCGACUCUUGGUUUCAGCUCGGGUCUUGACCUCACGGUUUGUGAGUUCGAGCCCCGCGUUGGGCUCUGCGUUGACCAUGCAGAAACUGCUUGGGAUUCUGUCUCUCCCUUUCCCUCUGUUCCUCCCCUGCUCUCUCUCUCUCUCAAAGUAAAGAAACAUUAAAAAAAAGAAAAAGAAAUAUUCCUGCAUGGUCCAUACUUCAAAAAGGAAAGAGUAUGUCCUCAGGCUACAGUGCCAACCUGGACAGGGGGACCUGACAGGUAACUGGCAGAAAAUGCGAGAAGACCCAGAUUCGAGACCCGGGCGUGCAGGCCACUCGUUAUCAACCACCGUCUCUCGCUGUCUCUACCUCUGGCCUAGUCUGUAGACUAAAGGAGUUUUACAAGGAGGCGGCUACACUCUGGUGAUCGGAGACUCUCUGUCCCUGCUUUCCGAGACAGGGGCUGACCGGAUGAGCCCUGGGUGUGGCCUGAUCUGGGGAUUCUUCUGAUCUGAAUCUCUUCCACAUGUGUGGUGUCAGCCGGGCGCGGGGAGGGGAGGGCCGGGCAAUCCGAAACCUCCAGGAAGUUCAGCUUCGCUGGUGCUAAAAUUAGAAGCAGGCUGCAGCUUACAUCAAGGUCAUUCCUCGCCCGGGCCUCUCCGUGAGCUGCCUUUUCCCUCCACCCAGCGCCCUGCAAACGCUCAUGAUUACAGCAGCCCGUGUCACGUGAGCGCCAGAUGACCCCGGGCCGGGGACCGAAGGCAGAGGGGGGGGGUGUCUGGUCUCGUGGGGACCCUUUCAGACACGGAGCUGGAGAGCAGGUGAAAGGAACAGGAAGGAAGGGAGCAGGCAAGAGGACAAGGAAUGCAGCCUUGAGCCUGGAACGGGGCAGGACGGGGAGGUAGAAGGGCUGCCCAGGUCUACUGGGUCCGUCGCCAGCGCCUUGCUGCUGUCCCCCGAAGACAGCCGUCCAUUCCACUUUUAGACGACACUCCCGAAAGAGGGAAGUGAGUUCUCCACAGGUGUCGUCUUGCAGUAAUGGCCGAGACCCCCGUGCCCGCCAGGAGAGAGCCGGGGUCCCAACUCUGUCGCCGAGUGACCAGGAUCCUGAGUGACUCACCUGAGGGCUGGUGCCUCUUCUCCCUUAUCAGCAGAGUAGAGAUAACGUGUGGGGUGCCGGGAGGAUGUGGGGACCGUGGUGGGGGGCGGGGUGGGCAUGAAGGAGGGCCCCUCGGAGGAGCCCGAGCAGGCUGCCUGACCCAGGUCUCACUGGACACGUGUAGACGAUUUCAGGGUCCGCGGGUGUCUGUGGGGUCUGUCUCAGGGAUCUUGCGCCGCUGGGGGUCCCCCGCGUCCUUCCUCUGGGCCGGCGCGUGGAGAGGGCGUCUGGCCCCUGUGCCUCCCCUUUCUGGGCCACCACGGAAAGGCGACAGUAGCUCCCUGGGAGCCGCCCUGCCUCGGUAUCCCCGCUGUCGCAGCCGUGUCUUCCACCGCGAGGGGCGGACCUGCCCGAGCGCCGUGGCCCCGUGUGGCACGAAGGCACAGCACCCGACGCUAGGUGGGUGCGCAGUAGGCGCCCGACACGGUCCUUGUGCGCUCCGGUGGGUGAUGAAGAAUUUCUAAAAAGUCACUCGAUCGGCCAGUUCGUUCCUUUGAGGCUGUGGACUUUCCAGCUGAACGAAAACGUGCAUACUUUCUUUGGGGGACAACACAGUUCGGCGCCCGGGGGCCUGGCCGCUCUUCCCCACGAGGCCAUUCUCGUCGUCGCUGUCAGCGGUAGUGAUGACGGCGGCAGGGGCGGGGAUGAGAGGCUGAGGCGCCGGCAGGGCUCUCGUGUCCUAUGGGACGAGACUCAGUCAUCAACUGGAUCCUGUUGAGCAAGAUUCAGGGAACGCGCUGCACAGAACCGCCCUGCUGGGCUGCACCGCGUCCACACCAGGGCCGCCCCGGACGGAGUGACAGCCUGCGCAAGGGGAGCGGGUACAGAGCGAUGUUUCCCUCUGGCCAUCCCGGCUGUCCCUCCUUCCGCCUGACCUCUCCUUUCCCGUGGCCACCUGCCGCUGAGGACAGAGGGAAGUGGCUCUUUGCCAAUCUUGCCGGAUGUGUGCAGGCCUGGGGUGGGCACCGGGACCUCCAUUCUGGGGUCUCUCCCAACCUGGAGAGAAGGGGACGGGCCUCUGGAGUUGGGUGAGUGACAGGGACGAGCUGGCAUUUCAGGAGCUGCUGUAGUGGCAAAAGGCACGAAAAGGAAAGAGAGAAAAGACAGAGACGGUUCCUUCUGGACAUAAAAAUCUGAGGCUGAAAACCCUGGAGGGAGCUCAGCGGUUGACUCAUGGGGGGCAUGGCUGUUCCUCGGGCAUGUUUGAGGCCCCACAGGGAUCUUUUCCGUGGAGACGAGUGACCCACUGGAUCUCCUCAGUGGUAGGCACGGAAGAGAGCGCUUACGCUCGGGUUUCUGUCCCUGGGCCUCCGUGCUUCCCAGUGUAGGUAAGGAGGUCGGUUGAGAUGGUCAGUGGCCACCUCUCUCCUGCCUGUGGAGCUCACAGUUGGACAGCCCAAGGCUCCCAUAUUCCGGUUCAACCCCACCUGUGGGACUAGACGUCUUCGUCCGCCACCUUGGUUGUCCGAGCACUUGGUCGUGAGCCAGACCUGGGGCCUGGUGUUUCUCUCACGAACUAACUGUCUUUCCUCAAGUCUUUUUCAUUGCCCAUCAUGACAUCUGUGAGGCUCCCACACCUCUUCCGAGUCUGAUGAGCAAUGGAUCCCUUUACAUCAUUCAGCAUGGGGUCCCAUGGGGGACAGACACUGGUUGUACUUGAACACAGAGCCCUGCUUGCCUCAGUGGGUACCAGCCCCUCUGCGGUCUGCCCCUUGAAGGGUGACCCUUGUCCCAGCUCCAGGACACCCCUUGCUGGGGCACGCUGGCCACCACCAUCUCCGGGAUGAACCUAGAUGUGGUCUUUGGGAUCUGAUAUUAAACAGACUCACACCAACGUUUCUUCCUCCGAUGUUCUCAAGGUCUCUACAGCUGCGGAGAAAGCCCUGGAUAUGGGCCACGUGGUCUCAUUUCCUUGCAGAAAUCCCUGGUCUCCAAGCCGCGGUCGAACACAAGAAUUGCCCUUCUGAAGACAUCUGGGUGCUUUUGCAAAAAGCUCGUUGGAGAUGCUGCUGUGUUACCUCAUGUCUGUUAUGUAAGGGCUCGCUUGAUAAAUUUCUCCUUGAACAUGGUGCCAGGAAAAAUUUCUCUUUCCAAUCUGAUUCCAAAGUCAUUGUCCAACGAAAAGUACAUGAGCCAGCCUGUUUCCCCUUCAUCCAGGAAAUUCAGAGAUAAAUCCAGCGUUCGGCUGUAGUAAACAGCUCAUCGCAGGUGGCUCGAGACCUAGUGUUUCUCUCUUACCCUCCCUUGUCCUUUUGUGAGUUUUGUUCAGCUGGUCAAAUUUCCUUAGAGGUUUUGGGACGUUUUGGGAAAGAGUGAGAUGCACCUCCCCCCAGAGACACUCAACGCACACAUGCACAUGUGCAAGGCACAGACGUCCCCACUUCUUACCGUCACCCCCGCCACGUCCCCGGUCCGGGCUGCACGCCAGGUGGCCACGCUGCCCUGAGCGGCUUGCGGUUGGCCGACGGGGCAGAUAGGCCGACGGAGAACGGACCUGAAGGUGCAGGACAGCCGGGUCUGCGCCGAAACCAGGCGGCGGGGGGAGAGGCUGGCAGCGUUCAGAAGUAGACGUGGGACGUCAGCACGGGGAAGACUUCUUGGAAGAAAGGGAGGCUCGCGGGGAAGGGCGGGACAGAUUUCGAAGGCAGAAACGGAGGAGGAACACUGCUGACGGGGGAACAGUUUGCACAAAGUCUUGUGAAGGGGAAAAUACGCUGCCCUGCGCGUUUGGCAAAAACAUUGGGAAUCUAGUUCAGCUAGCAGGUCAGACACGUGGCGGAGGCACCAGGAGCUGAGGAUAACGUUCUUGUACUCUGCAAUUUGGAAGCGGAAUCGGGCCCGAUCUAUCCUUUUGCCCAACCACCCUAUGAAGCAGGCAGAGCAAAACUGUGCCCUUGUUGGGGUCAGGGGCUGGGGCUACGGACCCGUUAAGUCACUUGUUCGCAGAGACCCCGCGGAAGAGAGAAACCCGGGGCCCCACACCCAAACCUGGCUCUGGUUUCCCUGCCUUGUUCCAUCUCUGGAAACGCUGGAGGAAGGGGUUCGCGGGGUCGGGCUAGGGGGCCCACCUCGGAGAUGAGAUUCAGAGGUUUGCUUUGCGUUUCCUUCAGGGGCGGGCGGGGUGCUGGCGAGAAUCGAAGGGAGGCGCCCCCGGGUGCAGUCGCAGCCCAGGUCCCCUAAGAACGCCCGCACACGGGUGGAUCUCUGCGCGGCCGGCUUCUCUGUUCCUUUUCUGCUGCAGAAGAGGAACAAUGAGGGAGUGAGGGGUGCGCAGUGAUGUUUAUCGUUCCAGCUCUGAACUUUCAAAUGCUGGAAUCCCCCGGGUUGGGAAGGGUGGGUGUGGUCACUUCCCACCAUUGCCAAGGCGGACCUGCCGCGGCCCCCCUGGGGAAGAGGGGGUGUGAUUUCCUCCCAAAUAGGAAAUGUAUCUCCUGAAUGGGGUUCUGCAGAGAGUCAUCAAGGACUUAUCUCCAGAAGCAGAUGACCAGAGAGGGGCCCUGCCCAAUCCUUUACCCCAGAGGGAACGAGUUGGCCAGGGGAGGGACCAGCUGAGGACCGGCCAGGAGAGCCCGCUCUCCUUUGUGCAGGAGGAGGGCUUCUCCCUGCCAGACUCUCCCGGGACCUGGGGACCCUCCGAGGCAUCCCAGCAGCUCCUCCCAGGACCUCCAGCGUGUUCCAGCCGGAGAAGCGAAGUUCACUUCUGUAAUUGAGAGGACAGGGGAAUCUGGGUCCUUUCUUCCGACUGGGUCCCGGAUCCCUGGGUGAUCAUCUCAGCUCUUGGAAACCAGGCUCUGGAGAUUCAGAAAGCUCCCCCAGUCGCCCCAACCUGCAGGCUGUUUGUUGAGAGGAGGCAUCCUCUUAGCGCACUCAGAACAUUGCGGCAGGAAGGACCCCUGCCCCUUUUACAGAUAAGGGACUCGAAGACGGAGAGACAAAAUAGAUACUCAGUCAAGCUUAUCCAUAGUGUCAUUUCAAUGUUUCUAAAUCCUACUUUAUUUCCCUGUGCUGCCCUCAUCCUCCUUGGCCUGUCAUAUUUCUAAAGGGUUUUUCCUUUUAUUUGCACAAGUAAUUGACUUCUCCGCACCCAUUUUGUCACUUAGGAAGUGGGGGUGAUCUUGGCCGCGGACGAGUGCAGGAUUCAAGUACCUACAGCAGUGGGAGUGUGGGGUGGAAAGCACUUUGCAAACAUUUGAGAGAAGCUGUCGUGAGGGGGGAGAAAAUCUCCCAUUUUAAAUUCUUCCACCUCAGCCGGCUUUCCAGGUUUUGGGUAUAAGUCUGGGAUUUUUUUUUUUUUUUGGACGAGGUUUAAUAAUGCUCAUUAUUAAUAAGUCCUUUUUUCUUCAAGAGUUAUUGAAGUGGGUGAUUUUGUCAGUGUCUGUCCCUGGGAUUAUUAUGUCUGAUUCUGUGCCCAAAGUAUUCCCACGCUUCUGCAAUAUACAUAUUUUCCCCAUUUAUACAGAACAAGCCCUUCCAUAAUUCAGUCUCCCUAUUACUGAGUGCUUUAACUUGGUUUACAGCCCAUUUGCCCAAUAUUGUCAAGGAAAGUUACCUAAGAGGCAUGUUCUGCGCUGACUUAUGCCUUAGAAUGUCUUUCUACUGCUUGAACCACAAACAGCAACUUGCUGGGCUCUGAAGUCUCACUUUGCCGACAGAGUUUCCUUGAGGCUGGUUUCAUUGCUUUUCCCUCGCCCCUGAUGUUUAUAUGCCUAGAUGAGGGUAGGCGUCUCCCUUUAUCCUUGAGAUUAAAAAAAAAAAAAAAGUCUCCACUUUUUAUCUCUUAAAAGUUCUCACUCUUAACAAAAACAGGUUUGACCUGGCCAGAUAACUCCCCCCCCAAACGUUCACGCUCGAUCUCCUUGGGAGGUCCUGGAGGUGGGUAGUGCCUUCUUUCUCUCCCCCCCGGGGUUGAGGGCUGGCUGUCACGUCUGUGCUCGCACCUCAGGAAUCUGGCUACCAUCUUGGUUGGCUUGAGGAAGGAGUCCAGAAAAUCCCUAGGUCUGUGUGUUUUGUUUUUCAUGAUGCUACUUGACUGGGGCAAGCAUUCCAUGAUCAAAUUUCUGAUCAAGUUGGCUUUCCUUUUGUGAAUAGGUCCAGCUGGCAUUGGCAGCCAUGACAUUUAACCACCUGUCCCAGCCAAUCAGAAAGAAGCAGAGGUCGUUAUGGGGGCAGAGGUGUUAGGGACCCCCUCUUGUGCCAAGUCUUUACCCUUAGUUGUUGAGGAAUGGCGGUGGUGGAGGGGGAUGAUGUCGGGUGACCUGAGAGGGAGGGACUGGGGAAGCCAUUGUAGCAGAGGGACACUGAGGCAGUUCGGGGGCCACAGUGUUUGUAACCGGUGUGGAAGCCGAUCGUCCACUGAAGACAGAAUAGCCAUGCCAGUGACGUCCAGCCUCCAGCGUCGGGGGCCAUUCGUCUGGUCUGUGACCCACGUUCUCCAUCAGUACGUCUGCUUGCUCGUGGUCCAAUUGGCAAGGAUGUUUUGCAAGGCCACUUGAACGUCAAUGGCGUCCUUCAAAGCCAGGAGAAGGACAGACAACGACAGCACGUUUUCCAGGCAUCUCAGCAGGUGCCUGAGGGACUCCCCUCCCCACACCGCUGCACGUUGCUCCCUCCUCUCCCCCUCCCCGGUGAGAGGUACAGCUCCGGGGGUACUCUGGGGGAUGGUAACCACCAUAUGCGUAUUGAACCGAGAUCGGCAUUUAUCUGCUACUAAAUCUCAUCACCCCCUAGAACCGAGCCAGAGAACGGCUCUAUCACACGGCAGCCAAACUGUUAGGAGAACAGAGCCAAGAUGUACAGAUCCAUCAGCACAAACAGCGACGUACUCAGAAUAUUCUCGCACGGGGUCGGGGGUCGGGGGGGGGGGCGCGGUCAGGAAAACAGUGGCCGUGAUCUUGGCACCUGAGCCGUGGGGUGAGAUUGGGUCUGGAAAGUGGGUAGGACUAGGCCACGGCCAGGUUCUCUCGGCCAGCUCCCAGGCAAGGCCUCCUUCGGGGAACAUGGGAGGCGAUGGUCUGGAGAGUGCAGUGCAGAACUGGCUCACAAUCAUGUAGACAUUUGGAAUGCUUCUGGAGAGAGCGGCUGCUGUAUUUGGCAGGCAAACCCAAAGGGAGACCGGCUUAGCUUGCAGAUAACCUUGAGACCCAGGGCCGAUGGGCCAGGGCAGGUGACGGCAAGAAACACAGAUGGCGUUGGGUCGUUACCCUGGGUAUUAAUUUAGAAGGCAAGAACUUGAUCGAUGGGAUUGACCGCAAGAGGUUCAUGCUAUGGGCAUGGAGCAUCCCAAGGGGUGGGAAUAAAGGAGGGUAUUGAGAGGGCGCCGGACAGACCCUUAGGGAGGUGCUCACGCUGCAAGGCUAAGUAUUGCAGGCCACUGCGGGCCCGGCAGCCGGAGGAAGGAAGGACGGAGGAAGCCUGUCGUGAUGGUGACGAUGACGACGGUGCUGAUGACAGAUGACAUCUAUUGAGCACCUAGUGCAAGGAGCCUGACGCCAUGAAAAUCCACGCGCUCACAUAUUUGCUGCAGCAAGGGAACAAAGCUGGUGGUAUCACCAUCCCCAUUUUAUAGACGAGAAAAGCGAGGCACAGAGAAGAGCAAAAACCUGUUCAAAACACACAGCAAGCAUGUGGGAGAAUCAGGUUCUUUCCCGCGGGUGGAGAGCGAGCCAGCAGACUCCCAAUCGAGUCGCAGAAGUCAGGAUUCUUCCUCGACACGGGGAAAAUAGCAGAUUUCAGCACGAGGAACGGGAACUGGUUCGGUCGAACUUUGCCAGGAGGCGUCCACAGGCAGGAGAUUUUAGCCAACUCCCUCGCCCAGUUUUUCACUUUCCACGAACACAAAGAAGCCGGGGUGGCAUCCGGAAAGGCACGGCAGCAGGCUGGGGGCCAGCGGGGGCUCUGCUCCGAGACCCCUAGCAAGCCUUGCUGGCUGACGCAGGCCUAACGGGACAGAGGUGGGCAGAAGUGCCAGCCCCUACUUGAGAGACGGUGGGGACCCAGGACCACCCGGUGGAGGAGGUAGGUUGAGAUGAAGUUCAAGGUCUCGCCACAGUAAGUGUGGAGAGACGGGCACCACAUGGCAAACUGGAACUCUUCCUCGGAGGGCCCGUCCUCGGGGUAGGUCAGUCGUGUCGUUUAGAAAAGUGUUGCAGAUCAAGGGCUCUGGCCGGCUCGAGUCACACCCCAUCAGGGCCAGUCCCAUGCAGCUGCUCUAGAUUCCUCCCACCGAGCAGCUGUCCUGAACUUGGAGCCCUUUCCACUGGGGUCGGCAAGGCCACCGGCAAAGGCCCAAGAACAGAAGGGGUGGAGACACUUGCCAGGCAGACUUGGGCAGGAGGUCAUUUCCACCUUAUCCUGCAACAGGCGACUGGGCCAUGAUCCUGGACAGAACUUACCGGGCAGGUGCAUGUUGGGGAAGCUGGAGUUUCUGGACAAGGUGUGAGAGGCAAAUAGCGGGCAUGGUUGUAUAAGGUCUGGUAGGAGUCGCUGAGUCCAGACUGUGCCAGAAUUGCAGACAUGCUACUGCCAAGAGGCUGGGAGUUGAGUUCAGCCCUGCUCCCUACUCCUGCUUCAUGCGCCAACCAGCUCUUGAGGUCACAUAGGGGCCGAGGACGAUGGGAACCGGUUGUCUGUCUCCCGCAGGGGUGGGGUGAGGAAAUGAGGCUAGAUAGCCCUCAUCUGGGAAGUCUCAAGAUGUAGGAGACACACAAAGGGAAGCUAGCAGCCACAAGGGAGGUGUCCUCUCCCACGAGUGGACCUUACGCUGUGCCAAAGGGACGCAGCACCCGUGAGUUACAAGGCAUGAGUCUAACCUUCUGUGGAAUGUUCUAGAAUGAUUGCGUUUGGAGAUCACACACUGAGGAACCAUCUAAAGGAAUUCUUUUGAAAUGUCUUUAUACCUAAAUCUUAACACUCUUCCAAUCUGGAAGUCUGGAAAAGUCAAAACCUACUGAGAGGAUUCACUACGAACUCUAGAGUUCUCUGUGUCUCCAAGUCACAAGGGGUCGGUGGUUCUCAGUGUCAGGUGUAAGGUGUCAUUAAAUGUUGAAUUCCAAGGUGGCUUGGGUUUGUGGACCGGCUGGACGGCUGCUCACCAUGAAUAAAACAGUGGCACCCGGGGUGUCCACCAGCCUACGUGAGGGGUCCAGAUGGGUUAUCUGUCGGGUUGGGUGUGGAAGAGUGAUAGGAGGUCUGAGCAAGAUGGCGGCAGCUUGUGUUGAUGUCAUCUGCCUCUUCUCUUGGCAUCUGAACACCAUCAGCAAAGUCACUAAACUCACAAGUCAGAUUUAGCAUAUACACAUAUAUAUACACACAUGCAUAUAUAUGUAUAUAUUUAGCAAAUGUAUGCAUAUAUACACAGACAUAUAUAUACAUAGAAAUAUAUAUACAUAGAAAUAUAUAUACAUAGAAAUCUAUCUAUCUAUCUAUCUAUCUAUAUACAUACAUGGAUACAUGUAUGUGUAUAUAUAUCUACACAACCCUCUUCCCCCCCUCCCCCCUCCCCCGACAAAGCAGGGCAGAAGUGAGAAAACAGAGUCACGGACCCAGAAGCAAGAAAACAGAGUCAGGGACCCAGAAGCAUUGUCACACCCAGAUGCAGAAGUUUUGCUUAGGGCUGAUCCCUCUAAGAACUAUAAAUAAAUAAUGUGUCUUUAAAUGUUCCUUCGCAGAACUUUAUUCUCUGCCCAUGACCGCGGCAAAGUCUU
rnacentral:lncRNA from 1 species